rnacentral:tRNA from 1 species
GGGCAAUUAGCUCAGCUGGUUAGAGCACACGCUUCACAUGCGUGGGGUCAGAGGUUCUUUUCAACCUUAUUUCCGA